GACGAGCGCUGGCGGCGUGCUUAACACAUGCAAGUCGAACGGAAAGGCCCUGCUUUUGUGGGGUGCUCGAGUGGCGAACGGGUGAGUAACACGUGAGUAACCUGCCCUUGACUUUGGGAUAACUUCAGGAAACUGGGGCUAAUACAGGAUAGGAGCUCCUGCUGCAUGGUGGGGGUUGGAAAGUUUCGGCGGUUGGGGAUGGACUCGCGGCUUAUCAGCUUGUUGGUGGGGUAGUGGCUUACCAAGGCUUUGACGGGUAGCCGGCCUGAGAGGGUGACCGGCCACAUGGGGACUGAGAUACGGCCCAGACUCCUACGGGAGGCAGCAGUGGGGAAUAUUGCACAAUGGGCGGAAGCCUGAUGCAGCAACGCCGCGUGCGGGAUGACGGCCUUCGGGUUGUAAACCGCUUUCGCUUGUGACGAAGCGUGAGUGACGGUAAUGGGUAAAGAAGCACCGGCUAACUACGUG
rnacentral:rRNA from 1 species